rnacentral:rRNA from 1 species
GACGAACGCUGGCGGCGUGCUUAACACAUGCAAGUCGAACGAAGUGGCGAACGGGUGAGUAACGCGUAAUCAACCUGCCCUUCCGAGGGGGACAACAGUUGGACACGACUGCUAAUACCGCAUACUGAAGGAUGGGAUUGCGUCUGAUUAGCUAGUUGGAGGGGUAACGGCCCACCAAGGCGAUGCUCAGUAGCCGGUCUGAGAGGAUGAACGGCAACAUGGGGACUGAGACACGGCCCAGAUUCCUACGGGAGGCAGCAGUGGGGAAUCUUCCGCAAUGGAUGAAAGUCUGACGGAGCAACGCCGCGUGAGUGAUGACGGCCUUCGGGUUGGAAAGCUCUGUUAAUCGGGACGCGGUACCGGAAUAGAAAGCCACGGCUAACUACGUGCCAGCAGCCGCGGUAAUUC